rnacentral:lncRNA from 1 species
GGGUGUCUCUUUGGUAUCCAUCUCUGAGGCUGGAUCAGGGCUCUGUCCUGGAGUGGGGCAGGCCUGAAUCGGGGGGACUUUUGAAAUGGAAUGCAACACAAUAAUGAAACGGGAUACAUUUAAAAACAGAUAUCUAGCUUAGUUUAGGUUGCCUUUCUUUUACGGGUACUCGUGCAACCAUUGCUAAGCACUGUUUAGAAGUUUCUAGAGUUGAGAUUCCCUGUUAACAAAUGGAUUAAUUAAUUAAUUAGUUAUAUUCAUUGUUGUGUAAUUAAUUAGAUAUUUAUUGUAUUAUAUUAAGUUUUAUUAUAUUCAUUAAAUGAACAUUUCUUAUCUUUAAAUUCUCCCCCUCCUCUCAGGGCGAAAAUCACAAAAUUCAGAGUGGAUCCAGAUCAGGUGGUUUUUCGUUUCCAGGAGGAUUCUAGUCUCCUGUUUGAAAUCAGGAACCUGGAUUUCAGGGUGGAACUUCAACAAGACAUCAAUAUUUGUUUCUUUGGAAAGUUUAAUUUGCACUCAAGUACGGUCACCUUGACAGGAUCAGACAUGAUGAGCACGAUUCAAUUGAGACUGAACCGAAAUCACAGAGGACACCUGAAUGCGGAGAACUUGAAGUGUGAAGUCAGUGGCAAUAAUGUUGAGUCAGAGGUCAACAGCAAACUGAGGUACACACAAGACUAAGACCCAGGUCUAGAUUAACACCAAGUUUACUGUUGGUCUUCAAUGCAAUCUCUUCUCAGGGAUGAAGUUUCUAGAUUCCCAGAGCUGCAGGCAUGGAUUGUGUUGUUGUGUUGUCUCGUGUUGAAGAAUGUUCCUCCUUCAAAUAUGUUUCCCUCUGCAACAGUCAAAACUCAGCCAUCAUGUAACUGUUUGAGUUAUGAUGGACAGUCAGACAGUUAGAUCUAAUUAUAUCAGGAUAUCUUUGUGUCAUUUCAGGUCAGUCCCAGUGAAGACACAAAGAGGAAACACUGAAAAUAAUUUACAUUAGAAUAUAAAAACAUAAAAUACAGUCAUAAGUAAGAAAAACUAGUGAAAUAGUCAUUGCUCAUUUAAAAUACAG